UGUCGAUGUCACAUCGGCAGCAGACUUCAGCAGCAGCUCUGGGUGCAAAGAUUGAGGAUUACAUUGGUGGUUUAUUAUAGGCCAGUUUAAUCAUCGCAUACAGUUUUUCUCAAGGUUUUUUCUCCAAAUUCUGAAUUAUUGUGAGGUGAAAAGUGCAAUUACAGUCUGCUCUAGCUAAGUGAAACUCGAAACGAGAGCAUUUUUUCGAUUGAGCUGAUUGUUUUUGUGCGUCGUCAGAGUAAGGAAAACGGAAAAAUGCAGGCUAUCAAGUGCGUCGUAGUAGGAGACGGUGCUGUCGGUAAAACAUGCUUACUGAUCAGCUACACCACCAAUGCGUUUCCGGGCGAGUACAUUCCGACCGUGUUUGACAACUACUCUGCAAACGUAAUGGUCGAUGGUAAACCCAUUAAUCUGGGCCUAUGGGAUACGGCCGGUCAAGAGGAUUACGAUCGGCUGCGACCGUUGUCUUAUCCACAAACGGAUGUAUUUCUCAUCUGCUUCUCGUUGGUCAAUCCGGCAUCCUUCGAGAACGUCCGAGCUAAGUGGUACCCGGAGGUACGUCAUCACUGUCCAAAUAUACCUAUAAUUCUGGUCGGGACAAAGUUGGAUUUGAGGGAUGACAAAAAUACCGUCGAUAAGCUGCGCGACAAAAAGCUCUCGCCCAUCACUUAUCCACAGGGUCUCGCCAUGGCCAAGGAAAUCGGAGCCGUGAAAUAUCUGGAAUGCUCGGCUCUAACUCAGAAGGGCCUCAAGACCGUGUUUGACGAAGCCAUUCGAGCUGUUCUCUGUCCCAUCAUACCGGUGAAAAACAAACGUAAAUGUUCAAUUCUGUAAGCAUGCCCUCCCCCAUUCGUCCCAUCAGUCCCAGAAGUUCCGAUUAUCCUUCCUUCCGCAUACAACUUCGCAGCACUGUUGAGAAGCUGUGAAUAUUGAACCAACCAGCGAAGAAAAGAGAAUCCCUCCCAAGCUUGUUAUCUCUCUCGUUGUGAAAUCAAAAUAGCAAAAAGCGGCAUUUUCUCGCAUUUCAAGUUUCAGUAGUUGAAAGUGGAUCUGUAAUUUGAUUGUGAAAUAAGAAGUGGUUUUAAAGUACAGUUCAUUGCAAAAAAAGAAAGUAAAAUGUUUCAAAUCUACUGCCAAGUUAAACAUUGGUAAAAGUGCUGCUAAAGACCGUAAACAAUACCCACACAACGCCAUCCCGAACGGAGUCACAAUGGAGAGAGUAGCAGAGGAACCAAAAGCGAGGAUGAUUAAAUGAAAGAGAUUCACCGAAUAAAAAAUGGCACACAGACACCGAAACCACACAAAUCAGAGUGAACAUAUAUAAAAAAAACUAAGUAGUUACUACACACCGUUACUCUAUUAUCCCGAAGUUCGACAUUUCGAAACAGUCUUUUCUGCCGACUUUCUUCCCUCUCCUCUGGAGGGGGUAGAAAAUAGCCACUUUUACAAAUGUUCCCGCUAGUAGUAGAGCGUUCGGUCAAACUUAGUACUACCAUCUUUGUAAGUGAAGGAAACGUUUCUUUCUUGAGGUAGAGUGGUGAACGAAUUGUAAGAAUAUGAAAAUCAAAACUACCAACGAUCCGGAAAUACGCUAGACUAGAGAAGCGAUUAAAGUUUAACAAAUGUUUAAGCUGUUUUUAUGUGCUUUUGAAGUAACAAAAGUAGAGCUUUAUUUGUUUUGUACGUUUAUUUCUGUAGAGCAAGUCAUUUAAUUUUUCGAAACGAAAAGUGAAAAAAUAAUAUAACCGUUGGUAGAGUAUACAAACACCGCGAUGAUACUUGUUCUUGUCUAACAUUGUAAAGUUUGUUUACAACACUAAUUCAUUGAUUAAACACAACAAGAACAAAACGUUUAUGACAGAAGUACAGCAAUGUCUAGCAGUAGCUAAGCAUAAUGAAACACACAAAGCAAACGUAAAUAGCAUGUAUGGUUACUGUAACGAUUAUUAUUGAUUGAAUGUUGUAACAUGAGAUUUUCUUUUUCUGUUUAUGGCUUGCGAUUGCGAUGUUUAUUUUCUAUAAAUGAAUGUUCCGCUCAUAGUUUUCAGUAGAAAUGGCAAAAAAAUAACACAAAUUUAAUUCAGAUUCAGAUUAACUUCAGUUUAUUUUUGUUCUUGCUAUCAUACAAAACAUGUUGUGAUGAGUGCUACUCUUGCAGCAUUCAGGUGUGAUUUGGCCCUUAGAUGUUUUAAACGCAGUAAAAAAGGUGUAAACUAAAAAAAAAAAUCUGUCGUAUUAGUAACAAAAAAAAAAGAUGGAAAAUUUAUUGAUAUAACAUUUUUAAUGAGUAUAAAUAAUGCUAAUAUUAUUGAACUAUUAAUAAGAAAAUAAACAAAAAACUAGAGAAAAUCAA